GGUCAAAUAUUUAAUUUAUAAUAUUGAAUUGCAAGUUCAAAGUUGGUUUUCCUUUGAUCU
rnacentral:tRNA from 1 species